UGGGGAAUAUUGCACAAUGGGCGCAAGCCUGAUGCAGCCAUGCCGCGUGUAUGAAGAAGGCGCCAGGCGUCGUAAACCUCUUUUGCCGGGGAACAAAGGGCGCCACGUGUGGCGUUGUGAGUGUACCCGGAGAAAAAGCAUCGGCUAACUCCGUGCCAGCAGCCGCGGUAAUACGGAGGAUGCGAGCGUUAUCCGGAUUUAUUGGGUUUAAAGGGUGCGUAGGCGGACCGGAAAGUCAGCGGUAAAAGCCCGGGGCUCAACCCCGGCGAGCCGUUGAAACUGCCGGACUAGAGACGGCGAGAAGUACGCGGAAUGCGCGGUGUAGCGGUGAAAUGCAUAGAUAUCGCGCAGAACUCCGAUUUGCGAAGGCAGCGUACCGGCGCCGGACUGACGCUGAGGCACGAAAGCGUGGAUAUCGAACA
rnacentral:rRNA from 1 species